GAUGAACGCUGGCGGCGUGCUUAACACAUGCAAGUCGAACGAGAAGUGAAGACGGAACCCUUCGGGCGGAAGGCUUUAUUUCGAGUGGCGGACGGGUGAGUAACGCGUGGGUAACCUGCCUCAUACAGGGGGAUAACAGUUGGAAACGACUGUUAAUACCGCAUAAGACCACAGCACCGCAUGGUGCGGGGGUAAAAACUCCGGUGGUAUGAGAUGGACCCGCGUUCGAUUAGCCAGUUGGCGGGGUAACGGCCCACCAAAGCGACGAUCGAUAGCCGAUCUGAGAGGAUGACCGGCCACAUUGGGACUGCGACACGGCCCAAACUCCUACGGGAGGCAGCAGUGGGGAAUAUUGCACAAUGGGGGAAACCCUGAUGCAGCGACGCCGCGUGAGUGAAGAAGUAUUUCGGUAUGUAAAGCUCUAUCAGCAGGGAAGAAAAUGACGGUACCUGAGGAAGAAGCCCCGGCUAACUACGUG
rnacentral:rRNA from 1 species